CAGUCGCCGCGGUAAUACGAAGGGUGCAAGCGUUAAUCGGAAUUACUGGGCGUACAGCGUGCGUAGGCGGUUUGUUAAGUCUGUUGUGAAAUCCCCGGGCUCAACCUGGGAAUGGCAAUGGAUACUGGCAAGCUAGAGUGUGUCAGAGGAUGGUGGAAUUCCCGGUGUAGCGGUGAAAUGCGUAGAGAUCGGGAGGAGCAUCAGUGGCGAAGGCGGCCAUCUGGGACAACACUGACGCUGAGGCACGAAAGCGUGGGGAGCAAACAGGAUUAGAUACCCCCGUAGUCCCUGUCUCUUAUAC
rnacentral:rRNA from 1 species